rnacentral:rRNA from 1 species
UACGGGAGGCAGCAGUGGGGAAUAUUGCGCAAUGGGCGCAAGCCUGAUGCAGCCAUGCCGCGUGUAUGAAGAAGGCCUUCGGGUUGUAAAGUACUUUCAGUCGUGAGGAAGGUGUUAAGGUUAAUAACCUUAGCAAUUGACGUUAGCGACAGAAGAAGCACCGGCUAACUCCGUGCCAGCAGCCGCGGUAAUACGGAGGGUGCGAGCGUUAAUCGGAAUUACUGGGCGUAAAGGGCACGCAGGCGGUUAAUUAAGUUGGAUGUGAAAUCCCCGGGCUUAACCUGGGAAUGGCAUUCAAGACUGGUUAGCUAGAGUCUUGUAGAGGGGGUAGAAUUCCAUGUGUAGCGGUGAAAUGCGUAGAGAUGUGGAGGAAUACCGGUGGCGAAGGCGGCCCCUGGGACAAAGACUGACGCUCAUGUGCGAAAGCGUGGGGAGCAAACAGGAUUAGAUACC